AAGACAGUGGAGGAAAACGGUGAGGAGAAAGGAGGGUGGAAAAGAAGACGAUGAGGACAAGGCCGGGCGCGGUGGCUCACGCCUGUAAUCCCAGCACUUUGGGAGGCUGAUGCGGGCGGAUCACAAGGUCAGGAGUUCGAGACCUGCCUGACCAACAUGCUGAAACCCAGUCUCUACUAAAAAUACAAAAAUUAGCUGGGCGUGAUGGCGAGCGCCUGUAAUCCAGCUACUCCAGCGCCUGAGGCAGGAGAAUCGCUUGAACCCCGGAGGCGGAGGUUGCAGUGAGCUGAGAACUCACCAUUGCACUCCAGCCUGGAUGACAGAGAAGGUCAUGGGAACAUACAGAGACCUACAGGGAAGACGGCCAUGGGACAAGGGAGGCAGAGUCUGGAGUUACGCUGCCUACAGUCACGGAAUGCCAAGGACAGCUGGAAACCACCAGAAGCUAAGAAGGAGAUUUUACCUGAAAGCCUCUCAAAGAAAU
rnacentral:lncRNA from 1 species